rnacentral:misc_RNA from 1 species
UGGUUCUGGCAUCGAUGAAGAACGCAGCGAAAUGCGAUAAGUAAUGUGAAUUGCAGAAUUCAGUGAAUCAUCGAAUCUUUGAACGCACAUUGCGCCCUUUGGUAUUCCGAAGGGCAUGCCUGUUCGAGCGUCAUUUCAAACCCUCAAGCUUCUGCUUGGUGUUGGGCUUUUUAUCGUCUUUUUCAAAAGACGGGCCUGAAACUCAUUGGCAGUAGCGCCUAACUCUUCAGCGUAGUUAAAUAUUUUCGCUUUAGUUUGUUUUUUAGGUGUUACCCGCCAGAUGAACCCCCCUAAAAUUUAUCUAUGGUUUGACCUCGGAUCAGGUAGGGAUACCCGCUGA